AUUCUGCCCAGCGUAAUUUAUUAGCGGCCGCAGUACUUUGACUGUGCUAAGGUAGCAUAAUCCNNNGGCCCUUAAUUGUAGUCUGGAAUGAAAGGACUAAUAGGGGUUAGCUGUCUCUAUACUAUUAUUUUGAAUUUAUUUAUUAAGUGAAAAUACUUAUACAAAGAAAAAAGACGAGAAGACCCUUAGAAUUUUAAUAAAAUAUUUAAUAAUUUUUUUUUGUUGGGGCGACAUUGAAACAAUUAAACUUUCAUUAACAAUCAAGACAUUUAGGUUUGAAAGAAUAAAUUACCUUAGGGAUAACAGCAUAAUUAAUUAUUUAGUUUGUGACCUCGAUGUUGGACUAGGAACUAGAAGAUUAACCGUCUAAAUAGAUUGUUCUGUUCGAACAGAAAUUCCU
rnacentral:rRNA from 1 species